rnacentral:lncRNA from 1 species
CCGGAUCGGAGUCAGACGCGGCGGUAUGAGCAGACGUUUUCCCAAAGAAGAUGACAGCAACUAAGAAGAGGGCCGUGGAAAGCAAAAGAGGCCAAAAGUAGGCUAAAAUGGUGAGAAAAGAAGGUGCAAAAAUGAUGAGGGCUGAAAGGGUAAGUGAAAUAGUGAGUAUUAUGAUUAUGGGGUACUUCAACUUUAGCAGCUUUUCCGUGAUCUCCAUGGUCUGAAAGAUAUGGAAGAAUAUAAAAAGAUAAUAAAAGGGGCUUUUUUUUGCUGUUGUUUUCAGGGGGAGAGGAGGAAGUGGUGAGUGGUGACUCGAGUGAUAGAUUCUCUCAAGCGGAAAAAUAGUGUUUUCCUUUUCAGAGGGAGGAGAAUGUGGUUAGUGUAAAACUUUGGGCUUAUUAAGGAAGUUAUAUGAAAACUUAUUAAAUAUGAUGGUAUUGAAUAGUUUUUGCAUUUAAAUAUUCAAGAAUUUUUUUAUUAUUUUUAUUAAGGGUAAAUUACACUAAGUAGUCACUCAAUUUUUUUUAUUUUUAUCACCUAAUUAUGUAAAAUUACAAAAUGAUCAUCUAACUAUUUAAUUUUAUCUUCUAACUAUUUAAUUUUAUCUUUUUUGGUUAAUGGGCUAGAGCUUUUAAAAUUGGUAUAAUAACAACUUUAACCCUCAAUAUUUAUAUAUUGUGUUAACUUAGUCUUAAUUCUAAAAAAUUGAAUAGUUGGAUGUCCAUUUUGUAACUUUAAAAGCUGCCACUAUUAGCCACUAGUGACUAAAAAAGAAAAAAUUAAAUAAUUGAGUGUCUAUUUUGUAAUUUUUUAUAGUUGGGUGAUCGAAAAAGAGAUUUACUUAUAGUUGGGUGACUACUAGUGUUGUUUACCCAUUUAUUAAAAUAAGCUUAGGAGAAUGUUAUUUUUUAAAAGGCUUAAUGGUAUUAUAAGCCUUCAAACUUUUUCAAAAAAUUCAAUUAACCCUUCAAACCUUUUGCAUCUCAAUUGAGCUGUUAAACUAACAAAGCUGACUAAAUAGGACCUUUGACUACCAUUGACUGUUAAUAUUUAAUAAUAACGCAAAUGCAACUAUUAAUAGAUGCCAUGUUAGCACAUUUAUUAAUAUAGCAAUGCCAUGUCAUCGUCAAAUGCUGAUGUGGUAAUGCAAUAUCAUCAUUGACUGCCACAUCACCAUCAAUUCAAAAAAUAAAAAAUUAUUUUAAAAAUAUGUACACAACGAAUCUGAAAAAAUUAUUGUCCAAAUACAUUAUGAAGUUAUAAAAAAAAUUAAAAAAAAUUAUUAUUAGAAUUUAAUUAAAAAACAUAAAGUUUAUAAAAGAUUAUUAUUUUUAUAUUUUAAAUAAAAAUAACAUCAACAACUUAUAUCAUAAAAUCAAGAUUAAUAAUUUUUUUUUGUUAUAUUUUAUCUUUCAUUUUUCAUUUCGCGCAAGUUAUAUUAGUCAAGUAAUUUAAUAAAAAAUCAAAAAAAUAUUUUUUUAUGAAAUUUUAUAAAAAAAUAUUUUUUAUGAAAUUUUAUAAAAAAAUAAUUUCUUUUUUUAUAAAAAUUUAUGGUUUUUAAUUAAUUUAUAACAAUUUUUAUAAAUUAUUUUUAUAAUUUUUAUGGCUUUUAAUAAAUUACUUUUAUAAAAUUCUAUGAUUUUUAAUUAAUUUCUAAUAAUUAUUAUAAAUUUUAAGAAAUUUUAAUGAUUUUCUUAUAAUUUUUAUAAAAUUUUUAUACUUUUUUUAUUAUUCUAAAAUUUGUCUAGAUUCAUUAUGUACUUAUUUUAAAAUAAUUUUAAAUAUAUAUUAUUUUUAAUUAUUUUAUGAUGUGAUGUUUGUUAACAACCAUGUCAGCAUUGUUGUUAAAUAGUAACAGUCAACGUCAAUCAAAUGGUUUAUUUGGCCAUUUUUAUUAAUUAGGGGCUAAAUUGAGUGCAAAAAAAUUUGGAGGGACUUAAUUGAUUUAUUUUUGAAAAAAAUUGAGGGCUUAUUUUACUAAUAAUAAACCUUUUAAAAGAAAUUGGGAGAGAUAUCUUGAUACUCAUGAGAAUUUAGUUUAGUGUUUUAUUUUGCAUUGUCAUGCUUUUUAUGCUUAAUUGGAGUUAGGAUAAUUGUUAUGAAAUAAUUAAAGCACCAAGACACAUAUGAAUGUUGAGAUAGUGUAAAAUAUUUAAAUUUUAAACUCUAACAAUAUAUUUUUAUUUUCUUACGUAUGUGGAUAACAUUUAAACAAAACUCGAAACCGAUAUAUGUUUUGUUUUGUUUAAAUUUUUUUAAAAUGUAGAUAAUGUUCUAUAACUGAUUAUUUGAAGGGAGAAUGAAAAUUAAAUUUAACUUCACUACCAGUGGGUGUUAAGGUUUCUUACAAACCCUAACAAAACCCUAAUUUUAAAAACCUAUAAAUAGUCUAUCCAAUUUCAUAGUUUUUCACAAAAGAAAAACCCAAAGCAUUCCUCUACAUCCUAUUCUAUGUUAUCCUCCAUAUUUAAGAAUUUUUAAAUUCUAAUUUCUAAGUACCUCAAGAUAUUCAGCAUCAUACUAGAGUAUUUUCUAAAAAAUUCAACACCUAAAGAUAUUCAACAUCAUACUGUUGGAUAAUUACUAUUGCUAAACAAAGAUGUUAAUAUAAAAAAUAAGGAAAAAUAAAUAAAUAAAUACUGCAUCGUGGAUAACCACUGCAUUAGAAGUAAUUUCGUUCUAAUCGAUAUGAUCAGAAAUGGACGUCGCUCCCAAGGUUAACACAGUGCAACCAAAUUCGUUCACCCGAAUGAUAAAGAUAAAAUACAAUUGGUAUUGCUCUUCUUAAAUUUACGAGAAAUAAGAUCAAAAAUAAGUUUAAAUGUGGUUGGAAAAUUUGUCCAGAAAAAUAAAACCACACUAGGAUCAAUUCCCAGGAAAGUUUAGAGGAGUCACAGACGGUCCCGCUUAAAACCCAAACUCCUAGACAAAACUUCCUCUAAUGUAAUUUUUAGUAAAAUAACAAAUAAGGAUCAAGGAGAUGAGAAGAGUGAUAGAAGCUUUGAUUUUUGUUGUGUGAAAUAUGAAGAAGAUAGCUUCCUAUUUAUAGGAUUCUCAAAGGGACAAAAUGGUCCAAAAAUUCAACGGCCAUAUUGCAACAGUUAGAUUCCAAUGGUCAUACGGCCAUAUUGUAACAGUCAGAUUCCAAUGACUAUAUUGUAAUGGUAAUAUUUUUUCAUUACCAAUAUUCCCUCACUAAUGUAAAAGAAAUAAAGAAUUUUUAAAAGAUGGGACAAAGAGCAAUAACAAAAUUAGUCGUUUAAGUACAAGUAUCUAUUAGAUUGAACUAAUACAUAGUGAAAUAAGAAAUUCUUCUCUUAUCAAGUGAACGAAUUUGGAACUUGUUAAAAUAAGAGUAAACUCAUAACACACGACUAAUCUUAAGUCUAAUCGUGUUCCGUAAUAGAUCAAAAAUUUAGCCAAUAUACCACGGGAUGCUGGUAAAUGCUCUAGAAAAAUGACCCAACGUCUUUCAUAGAAGGUGCCUAAUUCUUCACACUGGCUAUGUGAUUCCAUCAAGUCUAUCUCAAUAUAGACCAUUCGGACCAAUGCUAUGAAAUCAUUAAGAGCAUUUAAUAAGCUUAAUCUCUCAAUUUAAAGAUUUGGUAAAUUAAUCAAUUCUGUCUCAUUAAGACCACCUAAAUCUUAUGAUAUGAAUCCAUUAAGAACAUUUAGUGGCUCAUCCUAUAAAUUCUGUAGGUUCAUCAAGUCCGUCUCAAUUGGACCACCCAAAUCUUGUGUAGCACCUCGAAUUUUGGGGCUAGAAGUUUUGAGUUUUGUGGUUAGGGUUAGUAAGAAGGUUGCGUUAUUGUGUUUAGUUGUGUGUUUAAGUGACAAAAUGGGCCUACUGGUCUGGUGGUUAAGUGAUUGUUAGUGAACCUUAAGGUUCUGGGUUCAAGUCUUUGUGUGAGUGUUUUGGAGAAGUAUUAUUAUUUUGUUUUGUUUGUUAAAUAGUAGUUUUGUUUUAAGUUAAAUUACUUAACCAUUUAUAUUUUAUUUUAUUCUUUUUCCUUUUUCUUUCUCUUUUUCUCUAGACGUUUUUGUCUUCCCCUUCUUUGGGUUUCUUUUAUUUUUCUUUUGAACAUGGUUUUUGUUGACGAAUUUUGGGAGAAUUCACUCCUUGUCUUCGAGUUAGUGCUGGGAUGUUGUUAAUCGCGAGUCAAGUGUUGGAUUCAAACCUCUUUUAAUAUACUUGCGUAUUGUUGAUUUAAAGUGGAAUUCGACAAUCUUUUUGUGUGUUCCGGUAAAUGAGCAAUUAAGUUUCGUGCUGUCAAUAAUCUCUUGAAAAAUAGAGUGUUUUAACUGGAGGUCGAUUUAAUGACUGGAAAAGCUUAAUUUUUAGGCUGUUUGUGGGUGUUUUCAUGGCUACACCAGCGUGUGCCAGUUCACAUGACUGUGUGGAGUUAGGAAUUAGGGUUUCUGGGUAAAAUUUGGUGCCACACGGUCGCGUGUCCGAUUUAGGGAUUUUUGUUAAUUUCCACACGGCUGUGUCCCUUGGGUACACAAGCGUGUGUAUUUGGGAAUUAGGGAUUUAGUGAUCUGGUGCCACACGGCCUGGCCACACUGUAACACCUCUAACCCAUAUCCGUCACCGGAAUAGGGUUACGAGGCAUUAUCGAAUUUAUACACUAACAUUUAUACAAAAUCGAGUUAUAAAUAUGCAUUUCAAAUCAAUUCUUUUCAAAUCCUCAACUUAAAGUCCAUAAUAUGGGCUUACGGGGCCCAAUACAUGCUUUGGAAAUGGUUCGGGACUAAAUCGACAACUUUGAAAAUUUUUCUUUGAAAAUAAGGGCACACACCCGUGUGGCUUAGAACAUGGCCGUGUUGUGACACCCCUAAAGUGACCCUAGUCUGAAAGUGGUUUCGGGACCACUAAACCGAGUCAUAAAGAUAAUUAACCGUCAUAGUUGAUGCUCAUUAUAUGUACAUAUGCAUGUGUGAAAAUUUCAUGUUUGAAUUUUGUUAAUAGUAAGUGAAUUUUAUCAAAUAGGACUUAUGUGAGAAAAUUUUGAAAUGUGAUAGGUCAAAGCAUAAGGAUCUAUUAGUGCAUGAAAUAAAAAAGGGGGGACUUGCAUGUCAAUUUCCCCCUAAUUAGUAGUGGCCGGCCAUGACAAGUAUGGUAGACCAAGUGUGAUGGGCAAGAACAUGUCAUAAACAUGUUAAGUUAGUGUUUCAUGGGAAGUAUGAUAAAAUAAGGAGCAUGGGAAUAAAAUAAUGAAAGGGAAUAUGAUGAAAACAAAAAAAAAAGUGUGUGGUUGUUCCCCCAUUUUGCCGAAACUAGAAAAAAAAAGAGAAAGGCUUCAUCCUUUGGUUCUUCUUGGCCGGUUUGAAAGGAGGAAGAGGAGAGGUUUUGGUCACCUUGAGCUUAAGGGGAGGUUAGUAUGUUGUGUUAAAUUCUUAAGUUUUAAACUUGUUUCUAGUUAAUUAGCAAAUUUCUUACACAAACCAUGGCAAAAUUUCGAAAUCUCGGUGAUGGCUUGAGCAUUCGGUUUUGGUUGUUGAAAGGAAUGAGUUGGAGGUUGGAUCAUGCUAAGAUUCGGCCUUGUACAUAAACAUUAAGAGUUUGAUGUUUUUGCGAUUUUUGGAAGGUAAAUAAGGUUAUACACAAGAUAAAUACUAAGAUUUUGGUUGACUUGUUUUAGUGAGGUUCGGCCAAGGACCUUAUGUGCAAGUUUAUUCGGUUUAAGUAGAGAAAACGUGACGGAUAGAUAUGAAGUAAUGUGUAUAUUGGUUCGGCUGCUAAGCAAGGAAAUAAUUGUUAGUAACAUAGUAUCUAUGCACUUAUGUAUAUAUAUGUAUGUACAAAUAACCUAUUUAGCUAUGGAUAUCUAAGGUGUUAAAUAAUGAAAUUCUUGAUGACUUGGGUUAAAUAGCAUUCGGCCAAGGACUAUAUGGGCUUGUUAAUUCGGUUUAAGUGAAGAAACUAUGAUAGAGAAAUAUGACUAAAUUGUGGACUUUGACAAUUUAAAUGAUGCAUUUGACUUGUGUACCGACCUAGGACGAUAUGUGUUUCUAUAUGAAGUUAGAUGGUGUUGAUGAAGUUCGGUAAUGCAUGAUGUUUAAAUAGUAUUGAGCAAGGUCAUUGUACUUAAAUUGUAUGACAUACAUGUAUUGAAUGGAAUUGCCCAAGUGAAAAUAUUAAAUGAAUUUAUUUGUUUAAAUUAAGCUCAAGAGCAAAGGGGAUCUAAA